AUGUCUCGAAUCAACUGUUCAUCCCAUUGUGUGGUGACUGGAUCAAUAAGCUCAACUACUCUUGAUAUCACCGUAUGGCCUCGCGGGGUUAUUACUUUCCUAUCCGGACUCGAGGGAAUCCACGGGUCAUCCCAAAUAUUUACAUUCUCCCCCGAGCCGAUUCGCCAGAUAAAACCUCUUUUAAAAGUAGCCAGUCCUGCAACGAUGCUCUGCCAAGUAAAGGAAGCACCAUUUUUGGGACCUGCAUGCAACAAAUCAGUGCUUGGAAAAUACUUUGCCUUCAGAAUCCUUGCACAAAUAGAAUCUGGGUUGAUAAUCAUUCUCCAACACUGUUUUGCAAGAAGUGCCAAGUUGAAAGAAUGUAAGUCUUUAAAUCCCAUGCCCCGUCACUCUUUGGGAUACACAAUUUUCACCAUGAAAACCAAUGCAUUUUUUUAUUUUCCUCAUCAUCUCCCCACCAAUAUUGAGCAAUAA
rnacentral:rRNA from 1 species